CAGGACUCGCAAGACCCUGCAACCCUGUGAACUUAACUAUAAGCACGUUGCUUCGGCGGGUGUCUCGGCGAGGGUCCUCCCCCCUCCCCCCUCGGGCGCUAAGCCGCCGGCAGCCUACUAUACUCUGUCUCUUUGCGUUGGCAUCUCGAGUACAAAAAAA
rnacentral:misc_RNA from 1 species